rnacentral:rRNA from 1 species
ACUUGCAGGGAAUACAAAAAGUUCCCAUCUUUGCAGUCCCAAAACGAACAAGGGAAAGCGAGGCGCAAGGCUAAGUGAGAGAUUGAAAAGAGGAAAAGAGGAGGCGAGGAAAAAAGUUCAACUUUUUUUUGGAAAUAUCAAAAACCUUCUUACCUUUGCAAUCCCAAAUCGGGGAAAGAAAACCAGACGGCGCGACGCCAGAAGGGAAUGAAAACAAGAUCGUUAAGCAACUGAAUCAAACAGGUUGCUCAAACAUAAAAAAGCCGCACCGCGACGGGAAGGCGAAAAAGUUCUUUAAAAGAAAUGUCAGUAGUAUAACGGGUAACGAAGGUUACCUGUUAGAUAAUAAAUUGAUAACAGACAAAUAACCUAGUCAAUUCCAGCGAAUAGCAUUAAUAAUAAAACGAUUCUAUUUGAAUAAAAUAGGGUCAGAGAACAAAACUUCAUUACAAUGGAGAGUUUGAUCCUGGCUCAGGAUGAACGCUAGCGGCAGGCCUAAUACAUGCAAGUCGAGGGGUAUGGGUUGCUUGCAACCCAGAGACCGGCGCACGGGUGCGUAACGCGUAUGCAAUCUACCUUAAUCAGGGGGAUAGCCCGGAGAAAUCCGGAUUAACACCGCAUAACAUUAUAUUGUGGCAUCACAGUAUAAUCAAAUAUUUAUAGGAUUAAGAUGAGCAUGCGUGACAUUAGUUAGUUGGUGAGGUAACGGCUCACCAAGACCACGAUGUCUAGGGGAUCUGAGAGGAUGACCCCCCACACUGGUACUGAGACACGGACCAGACUCCUACGGGAGGCAGCAGUAAGGAAUAUUGGUCAAUGGGCGCAAGCCUGAACCAGCCAUGCCGCGUGCAGGAAGACGGCCCUAUGGGUUGUAAACUGCUUUUGUACCGGAAUAAACCUUCUCUUGCGAGAGAAGCUGAACGUACGGUAAGAAUAAGGAUCGGCUAACUCCGUGCCAGCAGCCGCGGUAAUACGGAGGAUCCAAGCGUUAUCCGGAUUUAUUGGGUUUAAAGGGUGCGUAGGCGGCUUUUUAAGUCAGGGGUGAAAACUUGCGGCUCAACCGUAAGCUUGCCUUUGAUACUGAGGAGCUUGAAUACACUUGAGGUAGGCGGAAUGUGACAAGUAGCGGUGAAAUGCAUAGAUAUGUCACAGAACACCAAUUGCGAAGGCAGCUUACUAAAGUGUGAUUGACGCUGAGGCACGAAAGCGUGGGGAUCAAACAGGAUUAGAUACCCUGGUAGUCCACGCCCUAAACGAUGAAUACUCGAUGUUAGCGAUAUACAGUUAGCGUCUAAGCGAAAGCGUUAAGUAUUCCACCUGGGGAGUACGCCCGCAAGGGUGAAACUCAAAGGAAUUGACGGGGGCCCGCACAAGCGGAGGAGCAUGUGGUUUAAUUCGAUGAUACGCGAGGAACCUUACCCGGGCUUGAAAGUUACUGAAGUUCUCAGAGAUGAGAGCGUCCUUCGGGACAGGAAACUAGGUGCUGCAUGGCUGUCGUCAGCUCGUGCCGUGAGGUGUUGGGUUAAGUCCCGCAACGAGCGCAACCCCUGUGAAUAGUUGCCAGCACGUAAUGGUGGGGACUCUAUUCAGACUGCCUGUGCAAACAGAGAGGAAGGAGGGGACGACGUCAAGUCAUCAUGGCCCUUACGUCCGGGGCUACACACGUGCUACAAUGGAUGGUACAGAGGGCUGCUACCUGGUAACAGGAUGCCAAUCUCUUAAAGCCAUUCACAGUUCGGAUUGAGGUCUGCAACUCGACCUCAUGAAGUUGGAUUCGCUAGUAAUCGCGUAUCAGCAAUGACGCGGUGAAUACGUUCCCGGGCCUUGUACACACCGCCCGUCAAGCCAUGGAAGCUGGGGGUACCUGAAGUAUGUAACCGCAAGGAGCGUCCUAGGGUAAAACCGGUAACUGGGGCUAAGUCGUAACAAGGUAGCCGUACCGGAAGGUGCGGCUGGAAUACCUCCUUUCU